GCCAGGCAUGGUGGCCUGUGCUUGUAAUCCCGGUUACUCGGGAGACUGAGGUGGGAGGAUCACUUGAACCCAGGAGUUCAAGGCUGCAGUGAGCCAUGAUUGCACUACUGCACUCCUGCUUGGGUGACAGAGUGAGAUCCCAUCUCUA
rfam:Homo sapiens chromosome 10, GRCh38 reference primary assembly.